AAUUUCCUAGUCCCCGCGCGAACCCCACGCACGGAAAAAGCAGCAAAACCAGCUCUCCACGCACGCACGACGCAAGCAAAACCAGAAAAAAAACCAACGCAAGCAAAACAAAAACCACCGUGAGAGAGCACGUACUUCGCCUCCUCCCCUCCCGCACGACGCCUGAAAAAACCACCAGGCCCAACCCGCUGCCGGCGGCCGGAUCCGGUCUCCAGACCGCCGCGCCGUAGCAGGCUCCUGCCCGAGCUACUCCCCUCGCUGCCGUGCCGCCGCCUCCCUCUGUGCCUGUCGCCGCCGCAGUGCGCGUGCCCCUUCCCCAGCCACCACCACUUUCGAUCGAGGAUUCGACGGCGGCGCUCAGGUGAGUGCUCUCCGGCCAUCCUCCUCCUUAUCCCCUCCUCUCUGGCUCCCCGGCGGUUCGCCCCCAUCCCUCCUUCCAUUCCCAUCUCUCUCGGAUGCAACUCCAUCUCCCCGUGCAAACCACCUCCAUUGGAGCGCAUCCUCCUUAUCUCCUCUCCCCCCAUGGCUCUCUCAACCCUAAUGGAUCUCUCGUCGUGCCAUGCGGCUCUCCCCAAUGGAUCUCUCGUCCUGAAACGGACGUCGUGUAGUCUUCACGGACACACGGUAGACCGUGAGAUCGGCAGGGCGCAGGCUUCGGCCCAGCUGAGGAAGGGCUUCUUCGACCACAUCCAGAACAACUGCUCCCGAGUUUACAUGCCUGUACAUUUUGUUUCAGAUCAGUAGAUUUUUAGAGGUCCAAUGAUUAUAGUUUCUCUAUAAAUUUUGGUUGAAGAUCAACAGAUUUUGCUUCAGAUCAGCAGUUUUUGGUUGGGAGUAAUCUGUUGUAUAAUUACGGUUGCAUCCAGACAUCGCGUCAAGCACGGCGAUAAUGUCCAAGGAUUCUUGCUCCCUUCUUUUAUGUAGCGGGCUGCAGAAAUUCGGCUGUCUUCCUCAACUCUACCAACGAACACUGCCUCCGCCAUGCCAACAGUUUUAUCUGUGAUCAUGGCUGCUGGAUCACAUCACUCGUCUUUGUCUCGGCAGGGAGCUAACACAAAGAGAAUGACUGCAGCUGAGGAUAUGGCUGGCAUGGAUGUUCUUUGCAGUUAUAAAACUGGAACUUUGAUCCUGAAUAAGCUUACCAUGGACAAGAACCUCAUUGAGGUGAAAAGUGCAACUCCUUGUGUUCUUGUUCUGGUUUAGAUAUCUGAAGAAAAUAAAUUCAACCCGAUUUUUAGAAAGAGGAAUCACUAAGGACCAAGUGAUUCUCACGGCUUCUAGAGCGUCUCUAACUGAAACCAAGAUGCCAUUGAUGCUGCACUUGUUGGGAUGCUAGCUGAUCCAAAAGAGGUAACGUGCUUUACUACAGUGACAUAUCAUUAGUUUGCUUAUAUGGAAAUGAUUGUUUGUCCAUAUAUAUUCUCAUGCAGGCACGUGCUGGUAUUCAAGAAAUUCAGUUUCUACCAUUCAAUCCUACUGAUGAAAGAAAGGCAUUAACAUAGAUUGAUGUUAAUGGCAAAAUGCACCGUGUUAGUAAGGGCACACCUGUCCGUCAAAAGUAAGGGCACACCUGUCCGUCAAAAGUAAGGGCACACCUGAGCAGGUACCACGAGAAUGAACUGCUUAUUUUUCGCCAUGUUCACAACUCGUCAGAGAUAGAGAAGAGGGUUCAUGAGAUUGUAAAUUUGCAGAGCGUGGGCUUACAUCGCUUGUUGUAGCUUAUCAGGUGAGAAAGAAUGAUAUCAAAAAAUGUUAGCCCAGUUUCACUCGAUAGUAAUGUGUUGAAUUUUUUCUAGAUUUCUUGAAGUUGUGGUUAAUUAUGUGUUGUGUCGCUUGCAUGUACAACCCUGCACUCUGUGGACCUUCCCAAAUUACGCCCCAAGUCCAUGUGAAAAUGAGAUAACCUCCUAAAUCGGACAUGAGCAGGACAUUAGUCAGGUUAGUUAGAAAACUAUAGAGGCAUGUGAGACAAACAAUUUAUUAUUGUUGCAGGAUGAAGGGAGUAGCUGACUCUUGAUUUUUACUGUUUUUCCUUUUCCAUUUGGCAAUCAGAUGUUGUAUCCUUCCCAUGACACUCUUCGAAUUGUCCUGCUUAUCACAUUGUGCAGUCUGACAAA